GGAUAUGAGAGCGAUCUGGCUGUGACAUGUCAACCCACUGAUCUCUGGGGUUGAUGCAGCUGACCUGGCUGGGUAGGCAGGUGCCCCCUUCCUCCCUCACUGCUCCACGUGUGCCCCUCAAAACCUGCACGCCGGGUAAUAAUGGAGAUGACCACACCCAAUAGGAGAACCGUCUCCUGGGUCUCAGGAAUUCCAGCAGCUUCGUCCUCCUGCUAGAAUUUCCAACCAAAAAAAAAAGUCCUUGUAUAUAAAAUGCUAGGCUGACAGCUAUUUCUUCCAGGGCUUUAGUGAUGCUGCUCUGUUAU
ensembl:misc_RNA 7SK 7SK RNA